AUGUUCCUUGGCACUCUUAUGUAUGAUUUGAUGAAAUAUGAACCUUUAUGUAUUUGAAAUAAUCGCUUUCCGAACUUUGCGCAAAAAGGUUUCACUUUAAAGAACUUCGAAAUUUCUGAAUGCCAUACAUUUCACAUAAAUGCUCGGAUUACUCCAAUAUUUUUAUAAAAGUUUGCAUUAUGUAUGAUACGUAUGUUUUUCAUAGGCGGGCCCGACGGGUAAAUACCCGUCCGUGGGUCCCGCGACUUUCCUUUAUGUAAUUCAGAGAAUCUUUGAAAGAAUUUGGUAUGAUUAUUAUUCCGAUUUCAAAUAUGAUCAUUUUACUUAUGUUUGAAUUUAUGAUAAUGAUUUUAUGCAUAUGACUACUCACGAAUCUACUCGUGCAUUCUGUUAUUCCUUUCGCCGAGUCCCGGGCCGGUUCGGUGGUCGUGCGCAUUUUGAUAUACUCCGGAGUUAUGCUGUGUUUAUGGUUCACCGAGCUACUCGCAAAAGAGGGUCGGGUUCCACCUAUAUUUGGUGUUAUGCUGUGUAUGGCGUUAUGUUGUGAUGUGAUAUGUGACGGGGAUACGGAGAUUUGAAACUUUCUGGUGUUAUGCUGUGUUAUGGCGCCAUCGACGGGUGGGCGACCAUAUUCUUCUGUACCCUAUGCAUUACUUACAUAUUUUUGAAAGUACAGACGCACAGUUUGGUGAUCUACCCAUUUAGGACACCCUCUUCUGCUGUUUGGAGUGCUCUUCUCAUUUCAGAGCACACAUUUUGGUAUAUAUUCGUUCGCCAUGUAUAUAUGUAUUUGUUCAGGGGCACGGCGGGGCCCUGUCCCGCCAUAUGAUUCGGUUUGUCUGUUUAGAGGUCUGUAGACGUAUUUGUGGGUGUGUGUGCCUACUUCUGUA